rfam:Dipodomys ordii contig_50939, whole genome shotgun sequence.
GGGAAGGUGGCUCAGUGGUAGAGUGCUUGCCUUGCAUGCUCGAGGCCUUGGGUUCGAUUCCUCAGCACCCCA